rnacentral:rRNA from 1 species
UACAGGGGGGGCAAGCGUUGUUCGGAAUUACUGAGCGUAAAGGGCUCGUAGGCGGCCAACUAAGUCACACGUGAAAUCCCCAGGCUUAACCUGGGAACUGCGUGUGAUACUGGAUGGCUUGAAUCCGGGAGAGGGAUGCAGAAUUCCAGGUGUAGCGGUGAAAUGCGUAGAUAUCUGGAGGAAUACCGGUGGCGAAGGCGGCAUCCUGGACCGGCAUUGACGCUGAUGAGCGAAAGCUAGGGGAGCAAACGGG